AGCAGCCGCGGUAAUUCCAGCUCCAAUAGCGUAUAUUAAAGUUGUUGCAGUUAAAAAGCUCGUAGUUGAAUUUCGGGGUUAGUAGGUUGGUCAUGCCUCUGGUAUGUACUGGUCUCACUGAUUCCUCCUUUCUGAUGAACCUUAAUGCCAUUAAUUUGGUGUUUUGGGGAAUUUGGACUGUUACUUUGAAAAAAUUAGAGUGUUUAAAGCAAGCUAACGCUUGAAUACAUUAGCAUGGAAUAAUGAAAUAGGACGUUCGAUCCUAUUUUGUUGGUUUCUAGGAUUGACGUAAUGAUUAAUAGGGAUAGUUGGGGGCAUCAGUAUUCAAUUGUCAGAGGUGAAAUUCUUGGAUUUAUUGAAGACUAACUACUGCGAAAGCAUUUGCCAAGGAUGUUUUCAUUAAUCAAGAACGAAAGUUAGGGGAUCGAAGACGAUCAGAUACCGUCGUAGUCUUAACCAUAAACUAUGCCGACUAGGGAUCGGAUGAUGUUAAUUUUUUAAUGACUCAUUCGGCGCCUUACG
rnacentral:rRNA from 1 species